rnacentral:rRNA from 1 species
GGACCCGCACAAGCAGUGGAGCAUGUGGUUUAAUUCGACGCAACGCGAAGAACCUUACCAGCGUUUGACAUGGGAAGUGCCGGUUACAGAAUGGUAACCUUCAGUUCGGCUGGCUUCCGCACAGGUGCUGCAUGGCUGUCGUCAGCUCGUGUCGUGAGAUGUUGGGUUAAGUCCCGCAACGAGCGCAACCCUUAUCGUUAGUUGCCAUCAAGUAAAGUUGGGAACUCUAGCGAAACUGCCGGUGCAAACCGUGAGGAAGGUGGGGAUGACGUCAAAUCAUCACGGCCCUUACGUUCUGGGCUACACACGUGCUACAAUGGCCGGUACAGAAAGCAGCCACUAUGCGAAUAGGAGCUAAUCUUUAAAACCGGUCUCAGUUCGGAUCGCAGUCUGCAACUCGACUGCGUGAAGCUGGAAUCGCUAGUAAUCGGAUAU